rnacentral:rRNA from 1 species
AAAGCAGGGGAUCUUCGGACCUUGCGCUAAUAGAUGAGCCUAAGUCGGAUUAGCUAGUUGGUGGGGUAAAGGCCUACCAAGGCGACGAUCUGUAGCGGGUCUGAGAGGAUGAUCCGCCACACUGGGACUGAGACACGGCCCAGACUCCUACGGGAGGCAGCAGUGGGGAAUAUUGGACAAUGGGCGGAAGCCUGAUCCAGCCAUGCCGCGUGUGUGAAGAAGGCCUUUUGGUUGUAAAGCACUUUAAGCGAGGAGGAGGCUCCUUUAGUUAAUACCUAAAGUGAGUGGACGUUACUCGCAGAAUAAGCACCGGCUAACUCUGUGCCAGCAGCCGCGGUAAUACAGAGGGUGCGAGCGUUAAUCGGAUUUACUGGGCGUAAAGCGUGCGUAGGCGGCUUUUUAAGUCGGAUGUGAAAUCCCUGAGCUUAACUUAGGAAUUGCAUUCGAUACUGGAAAGCUAGAGUAUGGGAGAGGAUGGUAGAAUUCCAGGUGUAGCGGUGAAAUGCGUAGAGAUCUGGGAGAAUACCGAUGGCGAAGGCAGCCAUCUGGCCUAAUACUGACGCUGAGGUACGAAAGCAUGGGGAGCAAACAGGAUUAGAUACCCUGGUAGUCCAUGCCGUAAACGAUGUCUACUAGCCGUUGGGGCCUUUGAGGCUUUAGUGGCGCAGCUAACGCGAUAAGUAGACCGCCUGGGNGANGUANCGGUCGCNNANANGACUAANANACUCAAAUGAAUUGACGGGGGCCCGCACAAGCGGUGGAGCAUGUGGUUUAAUUCGAUGCAACGCGAAGAACCUUACCUGGCCUUGACAUACUAAGAACUUUCCAGAGAUGGAUUGGUGCCUUCGGGAACUUAGAUACAGGUGCUGCAUGGCUGUCGUCAGCUCGUGUCGUGAGAUGUUGGGUUAAGUCCCGCAACGAGCGCAACCCUUUUCCUUAUUUGCCAUCGGGUAAUGCCGGGAACUUUAAGGAUACUGCCAGUGACAAACUGGAGGAAGGCGGGGACGACGUCAAGUCAUCAUGGCCCUUACGGCCAGGGCUACACACGUGCUACAAUGGUCGGUACAAAGGGUUGCUACCUCGCGAGAGGAUGCUAAUCUCAAAAAGCCGAUCGUAGUCCGGAUCGCAGUCUGCAACUCGACUGCGUGAAGUCGGAAUCGCUAGUAAUCGCGGAUCAGAAUGCCGCGGUGAAUACGU